CCAAGACUAUGAUGUGUAGCCGGGCUGAGAGGUUGAACGGCCACAUUGGGACUGAGACACGGCCCAAACUCCUACGGGAGGCAGCAGUAGGGAAUUUUCGGCAAUGGAGGAAACUCUGACCGAGCAACGCCGCGUGAACGAUGAAGUAUUUCGGUACGUAAAGUUCUUUUAUUAGGGAAGAAUAAAUGAUGGAAAAAUCAUUCUGACGGUACCUAAUGAAUAAGCCCCGGCUAACUAUGUGCCAGCAGCCGCGGUAAUACAUAGGGGGCAAGCGUUAUCCGGAAUUAUUGGGCGUAAAGGGUGCGUAGGCGGUUAAAUAAGUUUAUGGUCUAAGUGCAAUGCUUAACAUUGUGAUGCUAUAAAAACUGUUUAACUAGAGUAAGAUAGAGGCAAGUGGAAUUCCAUGUGUAGUGGUAAAAUGCGUAAAUAUAUGGAGGAACACCAGUAGCGAAGGCGGCUUGCUGGGUCUUUACUGACGCUGAGGCACGAAAGCGUGGGGAGCAAACAGGAUUAGAUACCCUGGUAGUCCACGCCGUAAACGAUGAGUACUAAAUGUUGGGUAAAACCAGUGUUGAAGUUAACACAUUAAGUACUCCGCCUGAGUAGUACGUACGCAAGUAUGAAACUUAAAGGAAUUGACGGGACUCCGCACAAGCGGUGGAUCAUGUUGUUUAAUUCGAAGGUACCCGAAAAACCUCACCAGGUCUUGACAUGCUUCUGCAAAGCUGUAGAAACACAGUGGAGGUUAUCAGUUGCACAGGUGGUGCAUGGUUGUCGUCAGCUCGUGUCGUGAGAUGUUGGGUUAAGUCCCGCAACGAGCGCAACCCUUAUUGUUAGUUGCCAGCACGUAAUGGUGGGGACUUUAGCAAGACUGCCAGUGAUAAAUUGGAGGAAGGUGGGGACGACGUCAAAUCAUCAUGCCCCUUAUGACCUGGGCUACAAACGUGAUACAAUGGCUGUUACAAAGGG
rnacentral:rRNA from 1 species